CUUGUAACCAUGGAGACGCUCUGGAGCUCACAGCUCCCCUGGAGGGAUCUAAUAUUCCAGGUAAGCGCGUCUCCUCAUUAAGGCUUCCUCGGGGCACUAUAAUGAACGGCGCCCACUGGAUAUGCUAAUUUUAUAGGAAAAGAAGAGCCGUGGUGUGACGUAUGAGGAUUAAUUGACCAAUGUCUGUCCAACGAAGUGAGUUCAAACUGAGCAGCCGUUACCUCCUGGACCUGGUCUGUGCCGCUGUAUCGGAUUCGGAUGUACUCACUCAGCUGUAUCAUGUCCCUGAUUGAUUUGGAGACAGCAGCACAUGCAAUCCCUUCCUUACUGCUGUGUGGAUAUAACGUCAUAGGAUAAUAUGGAGGUUAUAAACUACCAUAUACUUAUUAAUUCAAUAAAAGAUUGUUGUUACCGUUA